rnacentral:rRNA from 1 species
ACCCUUAGAUAUCCUGGGCCGCACGCGCGCUACACUGACGUAUGCAACAAGUUCCAUCCUGCCCCGAAAGGGAGUGGGUAACCUUUACAAUGUACGUCGUGCUAGGGAUAGAUCUUUGCAAUUUUGGAUCUUGAACUAGGAAUUCCUAGUAAGCAUAAGUCACCAGCUUGUGCUGAUUACGUCCCUGCCCUUUGUACACACCGCCCGUCGCUCCUACCGAUUGAGUGAUCAGGUGAACUCUUUGGACACCGCCUCCCGGUGCGUGGAAGUUGAGUAAAUCUUAUUACUUAGAGGAAGGAGAAGUCGUAACA